rnacentral:lncRNA from 1 species
CCAAGGGCAAAGGAGCAGGCACUCUGGUAACACGUUUAGCCCCGGGGCACUGGGCUUAAUAGUAAACGUGCAUGAUUCUCGUAGGGGCUAGAGACCAAAGAGGUAAACAGGGCAGAAACUGGAUAAAACUGUGAGGCUCAGGGUGGCCCUGCCACAGGCUGCAGCCACUUAGGAGUGCUACAGGCUGACCCCACAGUGUAGUACGGGGCUGCCCUGGGGUCCAUGGAGGGCUGUCCUCCUCCUCCUCCCUUCGGUGCUCCCAGUGACCCUGGUUGGUGGCAAGUGCUCCCUGGGGGAGGAGGGUCAGGAUUGGAGCUUUCUGAACUCAGGCUGCCUGGGGCCUGGUCAGACCACACCUGCCCUUGGUUGUAUGCAGCUCAUGCAAAAAUCAGGGUUUAGCCUCGAGGGUUGGGGGAGGGGAACAAAACUUCUCCAGACUCUAUUUCAUUGAACUUCCUAAGCCAAGAGAGAAAGACUAGAAUUGGGCCAAAGGAAUCCAUUGGACCUAUAGGCUAAACAAGAAAAGCUCACUCCAAUCACAGGGCAGACUUCCCUGGGUCUUUGCUUCUCUAAAGCAAUUAUGAAUUAGUUCCCCUUCUCAGCUAUAAAGAAAGUUUGGUUUCCUCUGGUGACCACAUAGUCUGUAACUCGAACCCUGUUGAUAGGCAAUGGGUUAGUCAACAAACCCAGCCAAGCUUCUAGGGCUUCUCUUGGGAUGCCUGUUUCAAAAGUGGAUUUCACUCAUCUGAUUACCCAGUAAGUGAUCACCAAAGGGCCGGGAACCUGGGAAGGCCAAAAAAAAAGUUUUUUCACAAGUGCAUCUAAAUUUGGGGCCGAUUUUAUGUGUCUGCAGUAAGAAUGUUUAGAACAUAAUUCUUUUGUUGUUUUUGUUUAAGAAGCACCUUAUAUAGUAUAAUAUAUAUUUUUUUGAAAUUGCAAUGCUUGUUUAUCAGACAACUGAAUGUAGUGAUUCUGUUUUGGAUUUAAUUUGACUGGGUUAACACAUUCAAAGCCAACAAAAAAUAUGUUUACUUUUUUUGUAUUACUACCUUGUCAUGUAGUCAUUGAUGCCUAAGGCCUGGUGAUUAUUCAUUUAAAUGAUGAUCACAUUUUCAUAUCAACUUUUAUAUCCACAGUAGAUGAAAUAGCACUAAUCCAGAUGCCUAUUGUUGGAUAUUGAAUGAUAGACAAUCAUAUGUAGCAGAGAUUAUGCCUGAAAAGGAAAAUUAUUCAGGGCAGCUAAUUUUGCUUUACCAAAAUAUAAGUAGUAAUAUUUUUGGACAGUAGCUAAUGGGUCAGUGGGUUCUUUUUAAUGUUUAUACUUAGAUUUUCUUUUAAAAAAAUAAAAACAAACAAAAAAAAUCUAGGAUUCUAGAUGAUGUAAUACCAGCUAAAUCCAAACAAUAAUCCAGCAGAGGGUUUUACAUUAUUCACAUAAGAUGUUUGUAUUCAUGUAAAGACACUAUUACAUUUGAAAUGGGCAGAGAGCACCAGAUGGUUGGUAUGUUAGCCUAGGAGUUUCAAGUAAUUUUAGAAAUCUCUUGUUCUUAUAUGAAGUGCCACUAAUGGAGAGCUGAUACUUUGCAGCUGAUGUUACUCGGAUGUAGGGAAUAUGCUGUAUUUUUCCCCCCUACUCUGAUACAGUUUAAAGUUUGAAAGACAUGGUCAGAGAGGGAGUGGAUGGGUUAGAAUAGAGUGGGGAAAUGGGUUUGGGCAUUUUAAGAGUGAAAAAUAUCGUGAUAAGAGUCCUGAAAGCAUUCUGAGGCAGAUCAGCACUGGCACUUGGGGCAUGCACCAGGACUCAGUAUUUCACUUGUGUUCUGUUAACCACGAAUAACUAGCUGUAUGUGACAGCUGAUCCUAUAACGGCAGCUUGAUUUCCGGGGCAGAACUAGAGGCAUGUGCAGUACAGUCCAAGAAAUAGCUAGUGGUCUGUGUUUCUUUUAGCCAUUGCCUAGCUCCAGGCUUGCAGUAAUGAUUCUGUAAUGCUGUCACGCAACCAUCAGAGAGGUUAGUUCAUCCAAAGAGAAGACCCUAGGUAGGUUGCAAAACCCAGCCCUUGAGGAAGUGUAGUCAUUGAUUCAAUUUCCCUAUUAACCUUGCAACUAUGUUUAACCAUGCCAUAGCCCAUGCCUUUUGAGGGCUGAACAAAUAAGGGGCUAACUGAUAAUCCAACUUCUGAUCCCAUUACAAUAUUCUUGCUUUAAAAUCUUUAUACGCUGAAAUGGCUAUUGGUUUAGGCCACUGGUUUAGACUAUCCCUACAUGAAACUAAUCCCAAAUCCCUUCCUAGUCACACUCCCCACCUCUGAGAUGGACUGUGGGUACUGGGAGUCAUCACUAGGACCAUAGUUAACGUCUGAUAUUCACAGGCAGAUUUGCUUCCGGAAACUAGUUGUUAGAAACACAUGUAGAGUCAUAUGUAGCUUCUGAGAUAACCGUGAUUCUCUUGGGUUCAAGUCUUGGGAUGAUGACCCAGAUGACACUGCACAGUUCCUGGGUGAACUCCCUGAAAACUUACUGUCAACUGGAGCAAAUGACUUUAAGUGCCGUCCCACACAUCCACCUUUUCAUUAGUGUUAUUUCUCUGUUUUUAACUGCAGUUCCUUUCCAUUUGGAUUAAAGUGAAUGUGGCCUCCUUCUAAGUCACUGAAAAUUGUUUUCUAAGUAACUGCUGCCUCUAUUAUGGCACUUCAAGUUUGCACUGUCUUUCAGAGAUUCAAGAAAAAUUUCUAUUCUUUUUUUUUUUUUUUUUGCAUCCAAAUGUGCCUGAACUUUUAAAAUGUGUAAAUGCUGCCAUGUUUCAAACCCAUCUUCAGUGUGUUUUUACAGAGCUGUGUACCCUGGAAACCACAUACAGCCCCAUGAACAGGUGCCUGAGGCACAGACCCCUUUGCAUUCACAGAGAGGUCAUUGGUCAUAGAGACUUGAAUUAAUAAGUGACAUUAUGCCAGUUUAUGUUCUCUCACGGUUUAUAAACAGCGCUUUUUGUGCACUACGUAUUUUUCAGUGUAGAGCUCUUGUUUUUUCGGGGAAAAGCUCAAAUGCCAAAUUGUGUUUGAUGGAUUAAUACGCCGAUGCAUACUAUUAUUGAUGUGAUUCUGUUUUGUUGCAGCUUCGCUUUGUUUAAUGAAACACACUUGUAAACCUCUUUUGCACCUUAAAAAAAAAUGAAUCCAGUGGGAUGCUCAAGCACCUUAAACAAUUUUCUCUACCUAUUUGAUGUUCAAAUAAAGAAUUAAAUG